rnacentral:rRNA from 2 species
UUAAAUUGAAGAGUUUGAUCAUGGCUCAGAUUGAACGCUGGCGGCAGGCCUAACACAUGCAAGUCGAACGGUAACAGGAAGAAGCUUGCUUCUUUGCUGACGAGUGGCGGACGGGUGAGUAAUG